CAGAACGACGCUGGCGGCGUGCCUAACACAUGCAAGUCGUGCGAGAAAGUUCCUUCGGGAGCGAGUAAAGCGGCGCACGGGUGAGUAACACGUAGGUAACCUGCCCCCCCAGUCUGGAAUAACUAAUCGAAAGAUUAGCUAAUACCGCAUAAGACCACAGAAGCUACGGCUUCAGAGGUCAAAGAUUUAUCGCCUUUGGAGGGGCCCGCGUCGGAUUAGGUAGUUGGUGGGGUAACGGCUCACCAAGCCUAUGAUCCGUAACUGGUCUGAGAGGAUGACCAGUCACACUGGGACUGAGACACGGCCCAGACUCCUACGGGAGGCAGCAGUGGGAAUUUUGGACAAUGGGCGCAAGCCUGAUCCAGCCAUGCCGCGUGCAGGAUGAAGGCCUUCGGGUUGUAAACUGCUUUUGUACGGAACGAAAAGACUCUGGUUAAUACCUGGGGUCCAUGACGGUACCGUAAGAAUAAGCACCGGCUAACUACGUG
rnacentral:rRNA from 1 species